rnacentral:misc_RNA from 1 species
UAAGUAGGGGGUGAGCGUAGUCCGGAAUUAUUGGGCGUAAAGAGCUCGUAGGCGGUACAUUAAGUCGGAUGUGAAAUCUCAGGGAUCAACCCUGAAACCGCACCCGAUACUGGUGGACUUGAGGUAGGUAGGGGAGAGUGGAAUUCCUGGUGUAGCGGUGAAAUGCGCAGAUAUCAGGAGGAACACCAGUGGCGAAGGCGGCUCUCUGGGCCUUACCUGACGCUGAGGAGCGAAAGCGUGGGGAGCGAACAGG